rfam:Steinernema glaseri strain NC unplaced genomic scaffold GLAS_3604, whole genome shotgun sequence.
GCCACUUUAGCUCAGUGGCAGAGCGUCUGUCUUGUAAACAGAAGGUCGCAGGUUCGAUCCCUGCAAGUGGCA